AAGCCUUUCGCCUUUUACUAAAGACUUCCGUGGAGAGGAACACUUACGAGUUCAACGUAUUUUUGGAAGGGCUUUGCUUCUGGCAGAGCC
rnacentral:snRNA from 8 species